UGCACUGUAUCUCUAAACUAAACUAAUUCACUGACUUUCUUGUGCCCUUGCUCCUGUCUCUGGCUCCGAUUACACCAACGGAUACGGAGGACAUCCACUCUCAGUAACCUUCCCCCUCAACCCCCCUCCUAUGCUGUCUUGGGCAAGCAGAGGUCACCAGUUGUCUAUAUUGAUGGGCCCAUGCUCUCAGAUCUUGGCUAUUAUGGACCUUAUGUGGACCAAUGAGCCUAACCUGGCCAAUCUGCACAUUGACAGUUGCCUUCUUGCCGGAAGAGAUCCAGAGCAUCUGCAAUGUUCCCUCGCCAUUCCAACAAAGCCUCUGCUGGGUUCGAUCCAGUGUAUGAGGCACUGCCCUACCCAUUCGAGAUGGAUGCCGUGUUGAAAAUAACCUCAAGUAUUCAGAAAGGAAUGGAUGGAUCCUGCUUCGUAUUGCUCCCUCCAGCAAGAUGGCGGUGGUACGCCUCAUCCUCCAGAUCACCACUACAACAGUCGGCAGUACCGUCGGGCAGAUCAUUAUGAUGAUGGUAGCCGGAAUCACCAGGACAAUGGUCCAGACAUCCAAUUUGUACAUUGACAUAAUUGAAACUGCCUUAUUGGGAUAAAGCACAGAAUGGAUUUAGGUGAAGGACAUAUUUGAGCCACUGAAUUCCAUCAUCACCAAAAAAGCAUACAAACGUUUCUACUUCCUCAGAAGACAAAGGAUAUUUGACAUUAAUCUAAAGACUCUUACCAACGAACUGUUUUGAAAACGUACUGCUGGGUGGCAUGACAGCUUGGUUUGGGAACUGCUUUGCCCAAGACCAUGAGAAAUUGUGGAUCACUACAGCACACAGACCAGACUUCCCACCAUUGACUACAUCUACACUUCACUCCCUUGGGAAAGCAGCCAACCUAAUCAAGGACCUUUUCCACCCUUGUCAUUUCCACUUUUCCCUGCUCCCACCACAAAGAGGAUACAAAAGCUUGAAAUCGUGUACUUUCAGACUCGGGAGCAGCUGCUUCCCCUGUUAUUUGACUUCUGAACGGUCUUUCCAGAAGCUAGGAUACAUUCGCUAAUUUUCAGCCAACAUCAUUGUGAACAUUGGACUUUUUCUCAGAAAUGAUUAUUCUACAAUGUUGAGAAACUGUAUGCUGCACUAUGCAUGUUUCUUCUCUCUCUACCUAUUGUGCUUGU